rnacentral:rRNA from 1 species
CCUACGGGCUGCACCAGUGGGGAAUAUUGCACAAUGGGCGCAAGCCUGAUGCAGCCAUGCCGCGUGUAUGAAGAAGGCCUUCGGGUUGUAAAGUACUUUCAGCGGGGAGGAAGGUGUUGUGGUUAAUAACCACAGCAAUUGACGUUACCCGCAGAAGAAGCACCGGCUAACUCCGUGCCAGCAGCCGCAGUAAUACGGAGGGUGCAAGCGUUAAUCGAAAUUACUGGGCGUAAAGCGCACGCAGGCGGUCUGUCAAGUCGGAUGUGAAAUCCCCGGGCUCAACCUGGGAACCGCAUUCGAAACUGGCAGGCUAGAGUCUUGUAGAGGGGGGUCGAAAUCCAGGUGUAGCGGUGAAAUGCGUAGAGAUCUGGAGGAAUACCGGUGGCGAAGGCGGCCCCCUGGACAAAGACUGACGCUCAGGUGCGAAAGCGUGGGGAGCAAUCAGGAUUAGAUACCCCUGUAGUC